UACGUAGGGUGCGAGCGUUGUCCGGAAUUACUGGGCGUAAAGAGCUCGUAGGUGGUUUGUCGCGUUGUCCGUGAAAACUCACAACUCAAUUGUGGGCGUGCGGGCGAUACGGGCAGACUGGAGUACUGCAGGGGAGACUGGAAUUCCUGGUGUAGCGGUGGAAUGCGCAGAUAUCAGGAGGAACACCGGUGGCGAAGGCGGUCUCUGGGCCGAUGACUGACGCUGAGGAGCGAAAGCGUGGGGAGCAAACAGG
rnacentral:rRNA from 1 species